UACGUAGGUGGCAAGCGUUAUCCGGAUUUACUGGGUGUAAAGGGCGUGUAGGCGGGAGAGCAAGUCAGACGUGAAGUUCCAGGGCUCAACCCUGGAACUGCGUUUGAAACUGCUCUUCUUGAGUGAUGGAGAGGCAGGCGGAAUUCCGUGUGUAGCGGUGAAAUGCGUAGAUAUACGGAGGAACACCAGUGGCGAAGGCGGCCUGCUGGACAUUAACUGACGCUGAGGCGCGAAAGCGUGGGGAGCAAACAGG
rnacentral:rRNA from 1 species